GGCGAUGAAGUACUAGUAGUACAUGGUCCUUCCGAAGGAAAACCCCCUAGCAUAUACUAGCGUGUAGUGCGCGGCGGCACGCCGCGCCACAUGGAUUGAUAAGUUAUUUAUUUAUUUUUGUAAUUUUUGGUAAGUCGUCUCAAGGCUUAAUUCACGACAAAUAGUUAUUUGUUUUUUUUUUGUAAUUUUUGGUAAGUCGUCUCAAGGCUUAAUUCACGGCAAAUUAGUUAUUUGUUUUUUUUUGGUAAUUUUUGGUAAGUCGUCUCAAGGCUUAAUUCACGACAAAGUAGUUCAUAUAAGAAAAGGGUGUAUGCAUAAGUGAUCUACAGUAGGUGGGAAAAGGGUGCAUCUAGUCUAGGCGGUAUAUGCAUAAGUGAUCUACAGUACGUGGUGAUACUGGCUACUGGAUACAAAAUUGCAAAGCUCUAGUUCUUUUCUUAGACCUGAGGUUAGCUAAAAAAAGGAUUGUUCUUCGUUAACAAAUAGAAGAUGAUGCCAACAAUGAGGCUGUUUCAAGACCUCAUUUAUUUAAUCACUACCGGUCAGUUUUCAUACUACAUAUAUACUGGGAAACACUCAAGAAGACCACAUGUGCAACUUUAACACAGCUUCCUGGAACAAUCAACUGUCUUUUUAGAGAAUUCAUUAGCAUGGAUGAUAUACAAUGCGCCAAAUCCAUAACAGCUCGGCUUCAUGGAACAAUCAACUGUCCUUUUAGAGAAUUAAUUAGCACGGAUGAUGUCCGAUCAGCACGAUGUAUGCAAACAUUUGAGUUGCUUUAAUAUCAGGAUUGAAAUCUGUAGAAAUCCAUGUGACCAGACCACACUAUCUAAGGACCAAGGAAAAUCUCAUGAUAAAAUUGUCAGCUUUAUGUAAGAUAGCAAUGAUGCUAGAAAUGGGAAGUUCGAGGGGCCUAAGUUUUAUACUGAUAACGCAUGGCAUGCCACUCUAUACUUAAAUCUCAGGCCAUUAGAACCUUAGAAACACGGAAAAUCCCUUGUGGCCUCAAGAAAACAAUCAAGUAUGAAAGAAAAAAGAAAGAAAAUAGAAAGAAAAUAGACGGAGUAUAUAAUUAGCAACCUUCCAAAAUAAAAUACGAUAAAUGACAUGGAGAAGGCACAAGUUCACUUAGAUUUGUAGGUACUUCCGUUUAGAAAAGGAAUUGUACAAACUAAUUGCUAGAGCAGCAAUGAAGCAGUGAACAAAAAAAAGAAAAGAUUGUAGGAAGUUCCACAUAAUAAGCAACCUUGAGAUAGAGAUGACAAAAGGCUGAAACGACCUUGGCUCCCAGAAGUUGUGUAGGGUGUGGUCGUUUUUUCUCUGAGUGCAAGAAAGCAAAGAAAAUAAUAAUUCUGAAGUUACCCAAAUAUCCACGAUAGGGUUAUUUACUGGCAGUAAUUGGUAUUGAAAAGGUAGGCGCUAAGUAGCUCUCUAAUAUAUAUUUUGUUUGGAGAAUCUUAUAGGAAAUGUUGGUCUAUGCUCUUUACUAUUUAACCAGAGCAUGAUUAUUAUAAACAAAAAAAGGUACAUGCAUAUUAGACAAUGUGAAUCAGUAGGCACUGAAUUGGAAGCAUGAUUAACAAGGGAGAAAGUGAAGUCCUGUUAUGCAGUUGUUAGUUGGUAGUUGAGCAGUUUUAACAUGCUCCCCCUUAUCUCUUUUUUUCACAUGAGAGAUAAGAGCAUAUAAUAGAUCUGACCCGUUGAUCUCAUUAAUUGGUGGUCUGAUUAACUCUUACCUUCUUACCUGACAUGUAAAAAGCUGGGGUAAGAGGGAGCAUGUUAAAAUUUGCCUAGCUGGUAAUCAGGAGCUAGAAUGAUUUACAAAAGGAGAUGUAUAGCCAGUUCAAGCAUUUAGGAAUCAGUGGAUACUCAACUGUAAGCAUGAUCCAUAGGAGAGAAAGCAGUCAGAUUAUGCAACCAUUCAUUGAUAAUUAAUGACCGGUACGUUUGUAAGCAGCUCUGUUUAGUAAGAACAGAUCUUGUGAGCUCAAGAGACCAAACUGCUACAGUCCAAUUUCUAAAGCAUUUCUUGCAAAAGAAAAUACAAACAAUACUGCUAAAAACAUAAAGUCAUUGUGCCAAUAUCUCCUACAAAGAUCAAAUGGGGAAAUAGGUACGGGGGAAAUUUAAGUGGUUCUUGAAUAAGAAGGAAUUUCUCAUCUGUUUUGCCAAAUUGCACUGCAUGUAAAGUUAUGCCCAAAAUGUUAUGCUUGACUCGGGAAUAAUGUAGUGCAGCAGUAUAUUGCCAAUAAAUCAUGCUCAAUUGUACUGGAAGCCAAUAUACUCCACAAGACACAUCUCGUCAGAACUAAAGUUCCAAAUGUACAUAGACAUCAAGCUGUAGCAUUUCCUCGGUACGUCAGUAAUGCACAUCAAGUGCUUAUGUGUUUGAACAGCAUGCGAAAUUAAAAUAGAAUUCCUACCAGGAAAUGGAACACAACGUAAUGAAUAGAUCAAGAAUAAAAACGAUUUACCAUGCUAUAUUAGAGAUGUAGGUCAUGAAUUUCUUGCACAUACGGACAGGAGCUGGAUCUCAAAAUCCAUGUCCUCCCCACAGACUUGCACACAUACCUGGUAAACCUUCCGUUUAGACUAAUAAUCAGUUAGGUAUACAAUUUUCUGUACUAUAUGCACCCACCUUUCUGAUCUGAACUUGUAAGCAAUGACAGUUCAUCUCCUUGUAAAACAAAACCUUUCUGCAACGACAUAUCAAACCAAGAGCAAAAAAACCUCCCACAUGUUUUUUCCCUUACAUCAGUAAAAACAGAAGUCUACAUAAUACAAACUAUCAUCUAAUCUAGUAAUAAUUAUGGUGUGUAUAGUUAUAUAGAUUUGAACAGUGGAUGUGAAAAAGAACAAAAAGAGGAGCAUAUCUUAGUGGUGUUGCUACUGCCAACAAAGUGACGACCAACUGGAGAGCUACCGCCUGAGAGUUGCUAGCUCGCUGCUUGCCGAGUGAGUGACAGAGGAGGAGUCGAGAGCUCGUGGGGAAAGAAGGGGCGAAACACUGCAGCAGCUCGCUGUUGGCUCGCCUCCGGAGGAGAGAAGGCCGUGGGCAGUGGGCUUGUCCACCGCCGCCACCAAGUUGGAAGCUGGCGCUGCAGGCUUGCCGAGGAAGGCGGAAGGGCACCGCCUAGGACCAAACUGAGAGCAACGCCGAAAAAAAGAGAGCAGAUCCGUCAGCAUCAUCCUCUCACUCGCCCGUACUGGCAGAUGACGCGUAGGUUCCCUUCUGCGCUUCCGUGAGGAGAAACAUCAGGUGAAACGCCAUCACUCGGGGCACGGGGGAUGCGUGGCGGUGAUGCAGCUUGCUGGGGUGGCAGUCGCCGGGAUGUGCUGAGGACGGCGCUGCACACUCUCAGUCUUGGCUUCACGGACGCAGCGGACAGCAACCCAUCCGUGAGGAUGCUGGCGAGCACCAACUUGACGCGGUCGUGUCCUUCCCGCGAGCCCCACCGCCUGGUGCUGCCACCGCUCGUCUGCCCAGUCGCCGUUCCAUGACCAUGCCGUCCGCGACCGACCACCACAAAUGCCCCUUCCAUCGCCACCUCUUCGCUGAGCGGCGUCACCAUCGUCCCUCUCCGCCAUCCAACACCGUGGGUUGGCUGUCCCGAUGGUCGCCCGUCUCGUCUUCCUCUGGGAGGUGCCCGGUCGCCUUCCUUGUGCAGCCGGCUAGGACAGGGUGUAUGUGAAGAGGGGGUGGUGCAGCCGAAGUGGAAGGAGGUGCGAUGGCUACGUGCGCCACCACCUUGGCCCGGGGAGGGUAGAUGCGAAGCCGUCGCUCUGAGAGGAUUUGGAUGCCGGCAGUCGGGCCUGGCAGAGAACGGGAAGGAUGGUUGUGGGAGCCGCGAUCUGGGAGAUGAACGGGGGCAUUUUAU
rnacentral:rRNA from 1 species